UUGCACUGGAGAGUAUCGAGAUUAUCGACACGUGGGCACUCCCCCUUUUUUGCGGACUCAAUGAUCUCCCUUGUGUGACGAUGCACAUCAAGUUUGCGCGAGAUACAGAUCCACAUCCUGACAUCAAAGCAUUCUUCAAUCCUCUUGUCAUUAUAGACAUAUUGUGCUAAGGUAGACUUCCCCAUUCCUCCCAAUCCAACAGAAUGGAGCAUACCACCAAAAACCUUCAGUUUUGAUGCACUAAAAUACAAGGCCUUUUCAUCUCCUACACCAGCAAGCACACUUGUAAUCAAUCCAAUUGGUGACAAACAACAAGCAAUCACCUUUUAACUGGUAAUAGAGCAAGUAGAUGAACAAGUCCUCGAGCUCAAUCCAUAGUGUACAAAUGUAGCUCAUCAUCCGCCAACAACGAAUCUCCAGAAACACUCGGACUGUAGCAGACACGUUUUGACUGUACGUAGCAGAGAAUUACGACCUAUUUUGACUGUAGCACACACAUUACUGGAACUGGUUCCAUGGUGAACUUCUCUGCUACACCAUCCACAAGCACAAGUGCAGGAAAAUGAACUAUCUUCUCUAUUGCAUUGCCUGGAGUAUUUAUACUAAUUGCCACAUGAAUGAUAUAGCAAUUGUGCACAUGAAAACAAAAGCCCUGGCCACAGUUAUUACUUCAUUCUGUCAGAGAAAUACAUAUUGGCAAUUGUGCACAACCAAGGAAUGAAUGAUAUAGCAACUGAAAUAGCGGAGCAAUACAAGCGGCAAAAACAGGGAACCGCGGGGACGGCAGCAUUAACGACGGAUUGGCUUCUGACUUGAGCCUCAACUCUGGAGCUUCAAGAGAAGAGGGGUGACGUCAAGGUGCCUGUUUAGAACAUGAAAUGUUUUAAAUAUUGAGAAACUCAUCAAUUGUGCUGGAAAAAAUGAAUUAGUAGAACCUGUACCUUCUCAUUUAUUUCAAAGUGGCAACUCUAAGGAAGCCAGAUCGAUUUUGGUGGAAAGCUCUUCCAACGAACGUGCGAAAUCUUUGGCCAGCUUUCUCCAUCAGGUUCUUGGCAAUUCUUCAUCAAGACGGGGCAAUUCAAUAUAGUUAUGCGCUGGAGGGAGGACGGCAGAUCUGGUAAAGAUGCUAUGUUGGGGCAUUGUUCUAUAGAAAGACUCUCCAGACUUGAGACAGAUUUUAGAUUUCUAGGCAGGGACUCUGUUUCGCAACAUGAAAAGUGCAGGUGCUUGACGGAUGAGAGAUUUGCAGGUUCUUCAAAUGAAACUGACGGCUCCUUGCAAUCUAAAAGAGUAAGAUUUGGUGGGGCUGUAAACCCUUCAGCCAUUAGCAUGUGGUUGAGCAAUACAGAGCUACUAACCCUGAGCGAUUCCUGGACACGAAACUGUGAGAUGCACUUGGCAGUGAGGUUUGCAACAUCUACUAAACUUAGGCGCUUAAGGUGCAGGGAAGACAAGCCUUCAACAAAGCAAAGAUCAGGGAGACCAUUUAGACAUAAUGAUUCAAGGGAGGUCAGGUGGCCAAUCGAUAAGGAUGGGGAGCAUCUGCAGACAUCAAUGGAAAGAUGUUUCAGAUGUGGCAAGCCAUUAAUGAACGAAUCAGCUGCAAGAAUGCAGCCAAGGAUGCUGAGAUUGCUAGCAAGGUUCAACGGCAUUAGUUCUGCUCCCCGUGCUAGCUCUAAAGAAGGACAAUCCCAACAGUUAAAACAGGAAAGAGAUGGAGCAGCACGUAAGCCCCCCAGUGAUUUGAGACACAAACAACCUAUUACAACCAACCUGUCAAGCUUCGUCAAAUGCUCAAACACCUUUUCUGAUGGAAGUGUAGUUAAUGCCAUAUUAUAUUUCAAUUUUAAAUUCCUCAGUGAAGUGAGGCCACCAAGGCAAAUAGCUAAAGCUUCAUCUGUAAUACUGCAUGAAGAAAGAGAAAGUUCACAGAGUCCUGACGGUAGAACCAAUGGCAUCUCCAUGGUCCUUCCAUAAAUGAAUCUUAUCCUCUGCUCAUGGCAAAAGAGCCAUGCCUUGAUGAUGUUUUCUUUCAUCCAUACUUUAUCUUCUCUUUCCUCCAGACCACUUUCAAUGAUUUGAAGAUGCUUUGAUAUAUCAUCAUCCAUCAUCAAUGUCAUCAACUGCUUCAGAGAUGAAUAGUCUUUCGACAGUAUACUCCUAACUUUUUUUCCUGAAUCCACCUCCCACAUCAAUGUAAGUUUAGAUGCCAGGUCGUCUGCCUUGAUUAUUAUAUUUUCCCUCAAGUCAUGCUGUCCUAGCUCAUUGUUGGUGAUAAACAUAAGCAGUGGGCACCAAUCAAUUGAUAAAUCUGUAAGGCCUGCUGGAAGAUUAGAUAGUUCCUUCAAAUUUGGAACAAAGUUUAUACGCAACCUAGAGCAAUUCCGAAGGAGCUCUGUAUCUGGUGGUAGGCCUUCUAGCAAACUGCAAUUACUAAGCUCAAAACUUUCCAAAUUCUCAAAAUAGGAUCGCUCUAGUAACCACCCAGGAUAUGUAUCAGAUCUGUAACCUUUGAUUCUGAGCUUACUCAGUUGGGGUGGCGGUCUUAGACCUUCUAGAAUAUCCAUUGCAUCCAUGCCAUUCUCGGAACUCCACUCAAAUGCCAACUCUUUAAGGCGACUUUUCAGAUAUAGCUUCGACUCUACGGCUUCAUCCUUUCCAAUGACAUUCUCAAGAUUUUUCACUUUUAAACUGCCACCAAGCUCAUUCAAGUCCUUCAACUGUCGCAACUCAUAGCCUUGCUUCUUCUGUACAGAAAAGACAUAAAUGUGUUGUAGAGACGUUAACUUACCUAUAUUCAGAAUUUGGCAAAUAGGCUUUUCAAUCGCGAAAUCAUUCACGUACGCUCCUAGAUGCCGUAGCUUUCUUAAAUUGCAUAGUUUGUCAGGCAAAUUCUCCACCAUGUGGUUUAACCAAAGUAAUUGUAAGUGGUAGAGAGUACAUAAUGAUGUAGGCAAUUCAGAAACUAACGUCCUGACGAGGUUCAAAUACCGGAGGUGCUUCAGCUCACCAAUAGAUUCUGGCAACUUGCUGCUGCUGUAAAAUGACAGAGACAAUACACGCAGUUUUCUUUGGUUCCGUAGCAUGCCAUCAAAAAUAUCACUUGGACCAUCCAUUAGCGGAUCGAUGCAGAUAAUAGUGCGUAAAUGAUAUAGCUUGCAGAUAAUUUGCUUAUGCUUUUGCAUACUUUGAACAUGAACAGAUAGAUGUCGAACAGUGCAUGGUAUUUCUGUCACAUUAUCAUCUUCUAAUCUAAAGCAGUCUUCCCUAGAGAGUGACUCUGCAAAAUCAUGAAGGAUAUCAUGCAUGACAUAGUACGAAUCACAAUACAUUUGAGAAACCAAUUGGAAGAAAGAUACAGAGACCAUAUCAUUGAAGUAAUCCAUCCCAACCUCUUCUAACGUUCUCCUACUCAAAUUGCAUGAACCAACAAAUCCUUCUGCCACCCAAAGGUGAACCAACUCUUCAGGUCUAUAUCUGUGACCUUUUGGCAACAAGCUGCAAUACAAGAAGCACCUCUGCAGACGUGGAUCUAACUUCUCGUAACUCCACAACAGAGAUGUGAAGGGAUCACUUAAAUCUCCAAGCUUUAGAGCAGCUUUCCAUUCAGCAAUAUCCUUUUUCCUGCACAAUCGAGAACCCAGAACUUUUGCUGCCAAAGGACAUUGUCCAAGCCUUUUAGCAAUCUCCUCUGCAGUGUCUUCCAGCUUCGUGCGUAACAGUUGGUCUUUGAUUUCUGCUCCAGAGAAAGCAUGGUGUUUAAAAAGAGCCAAAAACUCAGUAUCAUCCAUGUUUUCCAAAUGAAUGACAUGUUCUUGUUCACAACAAAUAGCGGCCGGAAGUGUUCCACUUUGAGAAGUAACCAAAACUUUGCUCCCUGACUGUUUAGAGACUAAUGGAGCAAGGAAUAACUCCCACUCUGUCUCACUAUGAGAUUUUUCAAACCAAACAUCAUCCAAGACAAGCAGGAAUUUCUGUGACUCUUGUAGUAUAUCACGUAAUUUGCACUGGAGAGUAUCGAGAUUAUCAACACGUGGGCACUCUCCCUUUUUUGCAGACUCUAUAAUCUCCCUUGUGUGACGAUGCACAUCAAGUUUGCGCGAGAUACAGAUCCACAUCCUGACAUCAAAGCAUUCUUCAAUCCUCUUGUCAUUAUAGACAUAUUGUGCUAAGGUAGACUUCCCCAUUCCUCCCAAUCCAACAAUGGCCAAACCGGAGUACUUAGUUGAGCUUGCCUCAGCAGUUGUUGUCUUGCCGAGAAGAAAUUUUACUAUGCGAUCACGAUCCCUG
rnacentral:lncRNA from 1 species